rnacentral:tRNA from 1 species
AUAGGUAUAGCUCAGUGGUAGAGCACAUGCUUAAUUAACAUGGACGAGGUCCUAGGUUCAACCCCCAGUACCUUCA